rnacentral:rRNA from 1 species
GACGAACGCUGGCGGCGUGCUUAAACCUGCAAGUUGAACGGAAAGGCCCUGCAUUUGUGGGGUGUUAGGGUGGCGACCGGGUGGGUAACACGUGAGUAACCUGCUCCUGACUUUGGGAUAACAUCAGGAAACAGGGGCUAAUACUGGAUAGGAGCUUCUGCUGCAUGGUGGGGGUUGGAAAGUUUCGGCGGUUGGGGAUGGACUUGCGGCUUAUCAGCUUGUUGGUGGGGUAGUGGCUUACCAAGGCUUUGACGGGUAGCCGGCCUGAGAGGGUGACCGGGCACAUGGGUACUGAGAUACGGCCCAGACUCCUACGGGAGGCAGCAGGGGGGAAUAUUGCACAAUGGGCGGAAGCCUGAUGCAGCAACGCCGCGUGCGGGAUGACGGCCUUCGGGUUGUAAACCGCUUUCGCCUGUGACGAAGCGUGAGUGACGGUAAUGGGUAAAGAAGCACCGGCUAACUACGUG